GGGUGUAUUUAUUAGAUAAAAAACCAAUGCGGUUCGCCGCUCAUUUGGUGAUUCAUAAUAACUUCUCGAAUCGCACGGCCUUGUGCUGGCGAUGCUUCAUUCAAAUAUCUGCCCUAUCAACUUUCGAUGGUAGGAUAGUGGCCUACCAUGGUUUCUACGGGUAACGGGGAAUUAGGGUUCGAUUCCGGAGAGGGAGCCUGAGAAACGGCUACCACAUCCAAGGAAGGCAGCAGGCGCGCAAAUUACCCAAUCCCGACACGGGGAGGUAGUGACAAUAAAUAACAAUAUAGGGCCCUUUCGGGUCUUAUGAUUGGAAUGAGUACAAUUUAAAUCCCUUAACGAGGAACAAUUGGAGGGCAAGUCUGGUGCCAGCAGCCGCGGUAAUUCCAGCUCCAAUAGCGUAUAUUAAAGUUGUUGCAGUUAAAAAGCUCGUAGUUGAACUUCAGACCUGGCCGGACGGUCUGCCUCACGGUAUGUACUGUCUUCGGCCGGGUCUUACCUCUUGGUGAGCCAUCAUGCCCUUCACUGGGUGUGGUGGGGAACCAGGACUUUUACCUUGAGAAAAUUAGAGUGUUCAAAGCAGGCAUACGCCCGAAUACAUUAGCAUGGAAUAAUAAAAUAGGACGUGCGGUUCUAUUUUGUUGGUUUCUAGAGUCGCCGUAAUGAUUAAUAGGGAUAGUUGGGGGCAUUAGUAUUCAGUUGCUAGAGGUGAAAUUCUUGGAUUUACUGAAGACUAACUACUGCGAAAGCAUUUGCCAAGGAUGUUUUCAUUAAUCAAGAACGAAGGUUAGGGGAUCGAAAACGAUCAGAUACCGUUGUAGUCUUAACAGUAAACUAUGCCGACUAGGGAU
rnacentral:rRNA from 1 species